UUGGGGUUAUAACUCAGUGGUAGAGUGCUUGCCUAACAUGUAUAAGGCUCUGGGUUUGAUCCCUAGCACUUCAAA
rnacentral:tRNA from 1 species